GACGAACGCUGGCGGCGUGCUUAACACAUGCAAGUCGAACGGUGACGAGGAGCUUGCUCCUCUGAUCAGUGGCGAACGGGUGAGUAACACGUGAGUAACCUGCCCCAGACUCUGGGAUAACAGUUGGAAACAGCUGCUAAUACCGGAUACGAGACGGAGAGGCAUCUCUACCGUCUGGAAAGUUUUUUCGGCUGGGAUGGACUCGCGGCCUAUCAGCUUGUUGGUGAGGUAAUGGCUCACCAAGGCGACGACGGGUAGCCGGCCUGAGAGGGCGACCGGCCACACUGGGACUGAGACACGGCCCAGACUCCUACGGGAGGCAGCAGUGGGGAAUAUUGCACAAUAGGCGAAGACUGAUGCAGCGACGCCGCC
rnacentral:rRNA from 1 species